GACGGAGGGUGCUAGCGUUGUUCGGAAUGACUGGGCGUAAAGGGCGCGUAGGCGGCCGCUUGCGUCGGAUGUGAAAGCCCGGGGCUCAACCCCGGAACGGCAUCCGAGACGGGGCGGCUCGAGACCGAGAGAGGUGAGUGGAAUACCCAGUGUAGAGGUGAAAUUCGUAGAUAUUGGGUGGAACACCGGUGGCGAAAGCGGCUCACUGGCUCGGUUCUGACGCUGAGGCGCGAAAGCGUGGGGAGCAAACAGG
rnacentral:rRNA from 1 species